rnacentral:rRNA from 1 species
UAGGGCGGGACACGUGGUAUCCUGUCUGAAUAUGGGGGGACCAUCCUCCAAGGCUAAAUACUCCUGACUGACCGAUAGUGAACCAGUACCGUGAGGGAAAGGCGAAAAGAACCCCGGCGAGGGGAGUGAAAAAGAACCUGAAACCGUGUACGUACAAGCAGUGGGAGCACAGAGCAAUCUGUGUGACUGCGUACCUUUUGUAUAAUGGGUCAGCGACUUAUAUUCUGUAGCAAGGUUAACCGAAUAGGGGAGCCGAAGGGAAACCGAGUCUUAACUGGGCGUUAAGUUGCAGGGUAUAGACCCGAAACCCGGUGAUCUAGCCAUGGGCAGGUUGAAGGUUGGGUAACACUAACUGGAGGACCGAACCGACUAAUGUUGAAAAAUUAGCGGAUGACUUGUGGCUGGGGGUGAAAGGCCAAUCAAACCGGGAGAUAGCUGGUUCUCCCCGAAAGCUAUUUAGGUAGCGCCUCGUGAAUUCAUCUCCGGGGGUAGAGCACUGUUUCGGCAAGGGGGUCAUCCCGACUUACCAACCCGAUGCAAACUGCGAAUACCGGAGAAUGUUAUCACGGGAGACACACGGCGGGUGCUAACGUCCGUCGUGAAGAGGGAAACAACCCAGACCGCCAGCUAAGGUCCCAAAGUCAUGGUUAAGUGGGAAACGAUGUGGGAAGGCCCAGACAGCCAGGAUGUUGGCUUAGAAGCAGCCAUCAUUUAAAGAAAGCGUAAUAGCUCACUGGUCGAGUCGGCCUGCGCGGAAGAUGUAACGGGGCUAAACCAUGCACCGAAGCUGCGGCAGCGACACUGUGUGUUGUUGGGUAGGGGAGCGUUCUGUAAGCCUGUGAAGGUGUACUGUGAGGUAUGCUGGAGGUAUCAGAAGUGCGAAUGCUGACAUAAGUAACGAUAAAGCGGGUGAAAAGCCCGCUCGCCGGAAGACCAAGGGUUCCUGUCCAACGUUAAUCGGGGCAGGGUGAGUCGACCCCUAAGGCGAGGCCGAAAGGCGUAGUCGAUGGGAAACAGGUUAAUAUUCCUGUACUUGGUGUUACUGCGAAGGGGGGACGGAGAAGGCUAUGUUGGCCGGGCGACGGUUGUCCCGGUUUAAGCGUGUAGGCUGGUUUUCCAGGCAAAUCCGGAAAAUCAAGGCUGAGGCGUGAUGACGAGGCACUACGGUGCUGAAGCAACAAAUGCCCUGCUUCCAGGAAAAGCCUCUAAGCAUCAGGUAACAUCAAAUCGUACCCCAAACCGACACAGGUGGUCAGGUAGAGAAUACCAAGGCGCUUGAGAGAACUCGGGUGAAGGAACUAGGCAAAAUGGUGCCGUAACUUCGGGAGAAGGCACGCUGAUAUGUAGGUGAAGUCCCUCGCGGAUGGAGCUGAAAUCAGUCGAAGAUACCAGCUGGCUGCAACUGUUUAUUAAAAACACAGCACUGUGCAAACACGAAAGUGGACGUAUACGGUGUGACGCCUGCCCGGUGCCGGAAGGUUAAUUGAUGGGGUCAGCGCAAGCGAAGCUCUUGAUCGAAGCCCCGGUAAACGGCGGCCGUAACUAUAACGGUCCUAAGGUAGCGAAAUUCCUUGUCGGGUAAGUUCCGACCUGCACGAAUGGCGUAAUGAUGGCCAGGCUGUCUCCACCCGAGACUCAGUGAAAUUGAACUCGCUGUGAAGAUGCAGUGUACCCGCGGCAAGACGGAAAGACCCCGUGAACCUUUACUAUAGCUUGACACUGAACAUUGAGCCUUGAUGUGUAGGAUAGGUGGGAGGCUUUGAAGUGUGGACGCCAGUCUGCAUGGAGCCGACCUUGAAAUACCACCCUUUAAUGUUUGAUGUUCUAACGUGGACCCGUGAUCCGGGUUGCGGACAGUGUCUGGUGGGUAGUUUGACUGGGGCGGUCUCCUCCUAAAGAGUAACGGAGGAGCACGAAGGUUGGCUAAUCCUGGUCGGACAUCAGGAGGUUAGUGCAAUGGCAUAAGCCAGCUUGACUGCGAGCGUGACGGCGCGAGCAGGUGCGAAAGCAGGUCAUAGUGAUCCGGUGGUUCUGAAUGGAAGGGCCAUCGCUCAACGGAUAAAAGGUACUCCGGGGAUAACAGGCUGAUACCGCCCAAGAGUUCAUAUCGACGGCGGUGUUUGGCACCUCGAUGUCGGCUCAUCACAUCCUGGGGCUGAAGUAGGUCCCAAGGGUAUGGCUGUUCGCCAUUUAAAGUGGUACGCGAGCUGGGUUUAGAACGUCGUGAGACAGUUCGGUCCCUAUCUGCCGUGGGCGCUGGAGAACUGAGGGGGGCUGCUCCUAGUACGAGAGGACCGGAGUGGACGCAUCACUGGUGUUCGGGUUGUCAUGCCAAUGGCACUGCCCGGUAGCUAAAUGCGGAAGAGAUAAGUGCUGAAAGCAUCUAAGCACGAAACUUGCCCCGAGAUGAGUUCUCCCUGACCCUUUAAGGGUCCUGAAGGAACGUUGAAGACGACGACGUUGAUAGGCCGGGUGUGUAAGCGCAGCGAUGCGUUGAGCUAACCGGUACUAAUGAACCGUGAGGCUUAACCUUACAACGCCGAAGGUGUUU